AACGAACGCUGGCGGCAUGCCUAACACAUGCAAGUCGAACGAAGCCUUCGGGCUUAGUGGCGCACGGGUGCGUAACGCGUGGGAAUCUGCCCUUGGGUUCGGAAUAACAGUUUGAAAUGACUGCUAAUACCGGAUGAUGUCUUCGGACCAAAGAUUUAUCGCCCAAGGAUGAGCCCGCGUAGGAUUAGGUAGUUGGUGGGGUAAUGGCCCACCAAGCCGACGAUCCUUAGCUGGUCCGAGAGGAUGAUCAGCCACACUGGGACUGAGACACGGCCCAGACUCCUACGGGAGGCAGCAGUGGGGAAUAUUGGACAAUGGGCGAAAGCCUGACCCAGCAAUGCCGCGUGAGUGAUGAAGGCCUUAGGGUUGUAAAGCUCUUUUACCAGGGAUGAUAAUGACAGUACCUGGAGAAUAAGCUCCGGCUAACUCCGUGCCAGCCGCCGCGGUAACAC
rnacentral:rRNA from 1 species